rnacentral:ncRNA from 1 species
UAAAGGUUUGGUCCUGGCCUUACUGUUAAUUAUUAUUAGACCUACACAUGCAAGUUUCCGCGAUCCAGUGAGUAUGCCCUCUUAACUUAUUCUGAGUUUUAAGGAGCAGGUAUCAGGCACACUUCUUUGAAGUAGCCCAUGACAUCUAGUUUUACCACACCCCCACGGGUUACAGCAGUGACUAACAUUGAGCUAUAAACGAAAGUUUGACUAAAUCAUAAUAAAAAGGGUGGUCAAUUUCGUGCCAGCCACCGCGGUCAUACGAUUAACCCGAGUUAACAGAAGAACGGCGUAAAGUGUGUUUAAGCAUUAAAGCAUUAAAAUAAGGUUAAAAAUCAAUUGAGCUGUAAUACGCUAAGGUUGAUAUAAAAAUACGCAACUUACGUGACUUUACCAGCUGCUGAAGACACUAAAGCUAAGGUACAAACUGGGAUUAGAGACCCCACUAUGCUUAGCCGUAAACCGAGGUAGUUGAAUAACAAAACUAUUCGCCAGAGAACUACAAGCUACUGCUUAAAACUCAAAGGACUUGGCGGUGCCCUAGACCCUCCUAGAGGAGCCUGUUCUAUAAUCGAUAAACCCCGAUACACCUCACCUUUUCUAGCUAUCAGCCUAUAUACCGCCAUCGUCAGCUCACCCCAAUAGGGUAUUAAAGUGAGCAAGAUCAUUAAACCAUAAAAACGUUAGGUCAAGGUGUAGCAUAUGAGAAGGGAAGCAAUGGGCUACAUUUUCUAUAUUAGAAUAUCACGGAUUGUCUACUGAAAUAAAGACAUGAAGGAGGAUUUAGUAGUAAAUUAGGAAUAGAGAGCUUAAUUGAAAUAGGCAAUGGGGUGCGUACACACCGCCCGUCACCCUCCUCGAUAAAGUAGUUCCCCUAUACCUAAUAAGAAUACGCAAAAAAGAGGAGAAAAGUCGUAACAUGGUAAGUGUACUGGAAAGUGCACUUGGAUAAUC